ensembl:lncRNA
CGGGACUCUGGCGGAGCAAAACGAACAAGGCGCGGCCAAGGAGUCCUGUCUCUCGCACGUGCAGACAAAGGGGACUAAACAACACAAAGCUGUGCGCGCCCCUUCAAACUUUUUCACCACAUACGACGUCGCGGGCAAAAUCGUGGAUGCCAAGAUUGUGGGAAAAGAGGAGACAGAGAGGAGAUUGCAGUGCUAUGUUCAUGGUGCUACUCUACAGUUGGCUUCCAACUUCCGACUAUUAGGAUUAAACAACUGCAGCUAUCUCUUGAAGAACUCACUCAGGAUUUAUACCACUAAAGACCGGCGCGGCGUUUUCCGCACACUUUUGGAUUUAAAAAACUCUUGGAGACAUUUGGGGAUUACAAAAUGUGCCGAUCUUGCUUUUUUAACGUCUUUGAACCUGAAACGUCUGAUCUAAAGUCCCGCGGAUCGCAGGGUGCAUGGCAAUGGAUCCUCCUCAGCCUACGAGAUGGACGGUGAGCACGGGGAACGAAGGGGGUCCGGGAGGUCGUGACCUUAAUUUUCUCCCGGAGACUGGGUUUAAUUAAGAAGGGUGGAGGUGAAGGGAGGGUGUGUACGCGGGGGGGAGGGGUACCUCCACCAGCUCCUCCUCUUCCUCCACAACUUCCACCUCCACCGUACUCUUCACUCAACUCCAAGACACGCCUCCGAGACCAAGACUGUCUGCUCUAGCCGAGCUCCCCCAGCCGCCCACUCCAGAGUCAACGUUGGGAGAGGACCACCUUGUAGGGAUUUUCCUCUUCAGCAGAGCUCUCUUUUUACUGCCAGGCACCGCUGUUGGAACGCUGUCGUAAAUCUCUGCCGGGUCGCCUCAGAGCGCCUUUGAAACGCCUUGCUCUGCGCCUUGUGAUCAAGCCUCCUCGCCCCUUCGUCUCCACGUCUCCACGUAUGCAUUUUAACACGCACGUG